GGGACCCGGAGCGCACAGGCCGCCCGCGCGCACUGGCGCAGGGAGCUGCGCGCCGCGUCUGCAGGAGCCCUGCGCUUCCUCUGCCCACUUUCCCCCGAGAGCUUUCGAAGGCACCGGUGUCUGAUCGUUAUCUGGGAGGAGCACGCCAAGACUGAAGAGCAGAGGGAGGCCGCCAGCUCCCAGGCCUGUCUGGCUUCACUCUCCGCUGCCUCCCUGGGUCUUCCAUGAAGGCAGGUUUCUACCGGCAACAAGGGCACAUCACCUCCACUUUGUGUACUGGACUAGCGCCAGGCCCUGUCCUGAGCUCUUGGAAGACAUCAUCUCAUUAAAUCCUCAUUAUGAGCCCAUUCUGAGGACCUGGAGACGGAGACUUCAGUAAGGCCGAGCGUAGGUAAGGAAAACAGGAAUUCAAGCCCGGGACGGAGGGACUCCAGGUCCAGAGCCCGAGCUCUUCUCCGCAGGAGGCACAGGCUCCGGCCACCUGAGUUUCCGCCGCCCAGAGAGCUUUCCACAGAGCUCUGAGAUCCGGAGCCCAGCCCUGGACCGUAGGAGGCCUGCGACUCUUCUCUCCUGGGCGAACCCUGAGGCCAGAGCGGGGAUUGGGACGGGAGCCUCUAAGAGGGUGGCGGGUUCUGUCUGGGGUCGGAACAAGUCCAGGAGCCUGCACCAACUGAGCGGCGGAGCUCCAGCAAGUCUAACUUACCUGGUGAAGGUUGCUGUGGGAAACCUAAGGAGUUUAUUUACAAGGAAGGACGACCUAAAACUAGGAACAGGGCAGCAAAGAUCAGUGGGUACAUGAACAAGAAUCAGAUCUGCAGCGACACUGUGGGGACUUGCCAAAGAAGAGGCGCCGUUCGGCCUUGGGAGACCUGAAGAAGCCCCAUCGCAGCUCUCUGCUUCGGAAAAUGAUGGUGAUGUCAUAAAACAAUAGGUAAUAUUUGUGGAGGUAUGACUAUAUUCUAGAUACUGAACUGAGCACUUUACAUGUAUUCUGUAGUUUAGACCUCACAGCAACCCCAGGAGUACUAUUUGCCUUCACUUUAUAGAUGAGGAAACUGAGGCACAGAGAGCUUGAUUAAUUUUAUCAGUGUUAUAGGCCAAUAUCUGAGGAACCCGGAACUGGAACGCAGUUUUUCCAGACUCCAGACCCCAGACCCCAGUCAGGUGUGGAGAGGACACCGGAAAACAGCACAGGCUCAUUGAUGAGAAAGUUCCCCUUUCUGAUCCAGGAAACUUUCUUUUAUUCAGAGAGGCGUUCUGACUCGAUUUCUCUCUCCAAAAAAGCAAAACAAAACAAAAAAAGCCCUGCGUCUCACUCUGUAGAAGAAAAUAAAAGCAGCGACUCCUGGAAGUGAGUCUGGCUCUGAACUCAGAAAGCGCCCCGGAAGCGGCGCGGGCGCACCGCCAGGCUAAGGCGCGCGUUGGAGAGCUGCGCUGGAGAGAAGCAGGGUGUCCCUGGAGUUUGGAAGCCCCCUAAAUCGGGACAUCUUUGUCUCUAACACAAGGCACUCUUGGCCCUGGGUCUCCAGGAACAGAGACUCAUCCACAGCAACACUUCCUUUGGAAAGACUACAGAAAAAGGCCUCGCGCGAGCCUGCAGCUUUGGGAGGAAACGGGAGACCUCGCCACGGUCCCAGCCAGCUGCGUGUUUCAGCUCCGGGUGGGCAGCUCGUGGCUAUGCCCCCAUUCGGUGUUAGCCAGCGGCACGCUGAACUCGCGAUGCGCAGGCUAUACUGCCUGAGAAAGAUCUUGAGAAGAGACUCAAAUUAAAAAUAAAACAAAACCGGAAAAUUCACCCGUUCAUACACUGCUCCAACUCAAAACCCUAGUGUGAUGUUUCUUAAUUACCUGGUUAUCCAUGGUUAAUACUGAAAAAAAAAACGCUGGUUUAAUUUUUGAAGUGAAUUGGAAUCAUCACACUGCAGGUUUGAAGCAAAGCGAAGAGAGUAAGUUUUUAUCUCUUCCCAUUUUAUCCGUAUUUAUUAAGCGUUUUCCACAAACAUGACCUGAACACAAGGCGCAGACCUCAAAAGGAGGAACUGAUCUGUAAAGCACAGAACUGUUUGUAAAGAGCUGUUAGAUAAUUUUAAAACUUUAAAUAAAAACUAGUUUUCCAAACCCUCCAA